CAGGCUUAACACAUGCAAGUCGAGGGGCAUCAGGAAGAAAGCUUGCUUUCUUUGCUGGCGACCGGCGCACGGGUGAGUAACACGUAUCCAACCUGCCCUUUACUCGGGGAUAGCCUUUCGAAAGAAAGAUUAAUACCCGAUAGCAUAAUGAUUCCGCAUGGUUUCAUUAUUAAAGGAUUCCGGUAAAGGAUGGGGAUGCGUUCCAUUAGGUUGUUGGUGAGGUAACGGCCCACCAAGCCUUCGAUGGAUAGGGGUUCUGAGAGGAAGGUCCCCCACAUUGGAACUGAGACACGGUCCAAACUCCUACGGGAGGCAGCAGUGAGGAAUAUUGGUCAAUGGGCGCUAGCCUGAACCAGCCAAGUAGCGUGAAGGAUGAAGGCUCUAUGGGUCGUAAACUUCUUUUAUAUAAGAAUAAAGUGCAGUAUGUAUACUGUUUUGUAUGUAUUAUAUGAAUAAGGAUCGGCUAACUCCGUGCCAGCAGCCGCGGUAAUACGGAGGAUCCGAGCGUUAUCCGGAUUUAUUGGGUUUAAAGGGAGCGUAGGUGGACUGGUAAGUCAGUUGUGAAAGUUUGCGGCUCAACCGUAAAAUUGCAGUUGAUACUGUCAGUCUUGAGUACAGUAGAGGUGGGCGGAAUUCGUGGUGUAGCGGUGAAAUGCUUAGAUAUCACGAAGAACUCCGAUUGCGAAGGCAGCUCACUGGACUGCAACUGACACUGAUGCUCGAAAGUGUGGGUAUCAAACAGGAUUAGAUACCCUGGUAGUCCACACAGUAAACGAUGAAUACUCGCUGUUUGCGAUAUACAGUAAGCGGCCAAGCGAAAGCAUUAAGUAUUCCACCUGGGGAGUACGCCGGCAACGGUGAAACUCAAAGGAAUUGACGGGGGCCCGCACAAGCGGAGGAACAUGUGGUUUAAUUCGAUGAUACGCGAGGAACCUUACCCGGGCUUAAAUUGCAGUGGAAUGAUGUGGAAACAUGUCAGUGAGCAAUCACCGCUGUGAAGGUGCUGCAUGGUUGUCGUCAGCUCGUGCCGUGAGGUGUCGGCUUAAGUGCCAUAACGAGCGCAACCCUUAUCUUCAGUUACUAACAGGUCAUGCUGAGGACUCUGGAGAGACUGCCGUCGUAAGAUGUGAGGAAGGUGGGGAUGACGUCAAAUCAGCACGGCCCUUACGUCCGGGGCUACACACGUGUUACAAUGGGGGGUACAGAAGGCAGCUAGCGGGUGACCGUAUGCUAAUCCCAAAAGCCUCUCUCAGUUCGGAUCGAAGUCUGCAACCCGACUUCGUGAAGCUGGAUUCGCUAGUAAUCGCGCAUCAGCCACGGCGCGGUGAAUACGUUCCCGGGCCUUGUACACACCGCCCGUCAAGCCAUGGGAGCCGGGGGUACCUGAAGUACGUAACCGCAAGGAUCGUCCUAGGGUAAAACUGGUGACUGGGGCUAAA
rnacentral:rRNA from 1 species